rnacentral:rRNA from 1 species
GACGAACGCUGGCGGCGUGCCUAAUACAUGCAAGUAGAACGCUGAAGAGAGGAGCUUGCUCUUCUUGGAUGAGUUGCGAACGGGUGAGUAACGCGUAGGUAACCUGCCUUGUAGCGGGGGAUAACUAUUGGAAACGAUAGCUAAUACCGCAUAACAAUGGAUGACACAUGUCAUUUAUUUGAAAGGGGCAAUUGCUCCACUACAAGAUGGACCUGCGUUGUAUUAGCUAGUAGGUGAGGUAAUGGCUCACCUAGGCGACGAUACAUAGCCGACCUGAGAGGGUGAUCGGCCACACUGGGACUGAGACACGGCCCAGACUCCUACGGGAGGCAGCAGUAGGGAAUCUUCGGCAAUGGGGGCAACCCUGACCGAGCAACGCCGCGUGAGUGAAGAAGGUUUUCGGAUCGUAAAGCUCUGUUGUAAGUCAAGAACGGGUGUGAGAGUGGAAAGUUCACACUGUGACGGUAGCUUACCAGAAAGGGACGGCUAACUACGUGCCAGCAGCCGCGGUAAUACGUAGGUCCCGAGCGUUGUCCGGAUUUAUUGGGCGUAAAGCGAGCGCAGGCGGUUUGAUAAGUCUGAAGUUAAAGGCUGUGGCUCAACCAUAGUUCGCUUUGGAAACUGUCAAACUUGAGUGCAGAAGGGGAGAGUGGAAUUCCAUGUGUAGCGGUGAAAUGCGUAGAUAUAUGGAGGAACACCGGUGGCGAAAGCGGCUCUCUGGUCUGUAACUGACGCUGAGGCUCGAAAGCGUGGGGAGCGAACAGGGAUUAGAUACCCUGGUAGUCCACGCCGUAAACGAUGAGUGCUAGGUGUUGGAUCCUUUCCGGGAUUCAGUGCCGCAGCUAACGCAUUAAGCACUCCGCCUGGGGAGUACGACCGCAAGGUUGAAACUCAAAGGAAUUGACGGGGGCCCGCACAAGCGGUGGAGCAUGUGGUUUAAUUCGAAGCAACGCGAAGAACCUUACCAGGUCUUGACAUCCCGAUGCUAUUUCUAGAGAUAGAAAGUUACUUCGGUACAUCGGUGACAGGUGGUGCAUGGUUGUCGUCAGCUCGUGCCGUGAGAUGUUGGGUUAAGUCCCGCAACGAGCGCAACCCCUAUUGUUAGUUGCCAUCAUUCAGUUGGGCACUCUAGCGAGACUGCCGGUAAUAAACCGGAGGAAGGUGGGGAUGACGUCAAAUCAUCAUGCCCCUUAUGACCUGGGCUACACACGUGCUACAAUGGUUGGUACAACGAGUUGCGAGUCGGUGACGGCGAGCUAAUCUCUUAAAGCCAAUCUCAGUUCGGAUUGUAGGCUGCAACUCGCCUACAUGAAGUCGGAAUCGCUAGUAAUCGCGGAUCAGCACGCCGCGGUGAAUAAGUUCCCGGGCCU